AUUGAACGCUGGCGGCAGGCCUAACACAUGCAAGUCGAACGGUAACAGGAAGAAGCUUGCUUCUUUGCUGACGAGUGGCGGACGGGUGAGUAAUGUCUGGGAAACUGCCUGAUGGAGGGGGAUAACUACUGGAAACGGUAGCUAAUACCGCAUAACGUCGCAAGACCAAAGAGGGGGACCUUCGGGCCUCUUGCCAUCGGAUGUGCCCAGAUGGGAUUAGCUAGUAGGUGGGGUAACGGCUGACCUAGGCGACGAUCCCUAGCUGGUCUGAGAGGAUGACCAGCCACACUGGAACUGAGACACGGUCCAGACUCCUACGGGAGGCAGCAGUGGGGAAUAUUGCACAAUGGGCGCAAGCCUGAUGCAGCCAUGCCGCGUGUAUGAAGAAGGCCUUCGGGUUGUAAAGUACUUUCAGCGGGGAGGAAGGGAGUAAAGUUAAUACCUUUGCUCAUUGACGUUACCCGCAGAAGAAGCACCGGCUAACUCCGUG
rnacentral:rRNA from 1 species